rnacentral:rRNA from 1 species
UUAAGUGACUAAGCGUACACGGUGGAUGCCUAGGCAGUCAGAGGCGAUGAAGGGCGUGCUAAUCUGCGAAAAGCGUCGGUAAGGUGAUAUGAACCGUUAUAACCGGCGAUACCCGAAUGGGGAAACCCAGUGUGUUUCGACACACUAUCAUGUCAUGAAUACAUAGUGGCAUGAGGCGAACCGGGGGAACUGAAACAUCUAAGUACCCCGAGGAAAAGAAAUCAACCGAGAUUCCCCCAGUAGCGGCGAGCGAACGGGGAGGAGCCCAGAACCUGAAUCGGCUUGUGUGUUAGUGGAAGCGUCUGGAAAGUCGCGCAGCAAAGGGUGAUAGCCCCGUACACUAAAAUGCACAGGUCGUGAGUUCGAUGAGUAGGGCGGGACACGUGACAUCCUGUCUGAAUAUGGGGGGACCAUCCUCCAAGGCUAAAUACUCCUGACUGACCGAUAGUGAACCAGUACCGUGAGGGAAAGGCGAAAAGAACCCCGGCGAGGGGAGUGAAAUAGAACCUGAAACCGUGUACGUACAAGCAGUGGGAGCACCUUCGUGGUGUGACUGCGUACCUUUUGUAUAAUGGGUCAGCGACUUAUAUUUUGUAGCAAGGUUAACCGUAUAGGGGAGCCGUAGGGAAACCGAGUCUUAACUGGGCGAAUAGUUGCAAGGUAUAGACCCGAAACCCGGUGAUCUAGCCAUGGGCAGGUUGAAGGUUGGGUAACACUAACUGGAGGACCGAACCGACUAAUGUUGAAAAAUUAGCGGAUGACUUGUGGCUGGGGGUGAAAGGCCAAUCAAACCGGGAGAUAGCUGGUUCUCCCCGAAAGCUAUUUAGGUAGCGCCUCGUGAACUCAUCUUCGGGGGUAGAGCACUGUUUCGGCUAGGGGGCCAUCCCGGCUUACCAAACCGAUGCAAACUCCGAAUACCGAAGAAUGUUAUCACGGGAGACACACGGCGGGUGCUAACGUCCGUCGUGAAGAGGGAAACAACCCAGACCGCCAGCUAAGGUCCCAAAGUCAUGGUUAAGUGGGAAACGAUGUGGGAAGGCAUAGACAGCCAGGAUGUUGGCUUAGAAGCAGCCAUCAUUUAAAGAAAGCGUAAUAGCUCACUGGUCGAGUCGGCCUGCGCGGAAGAUGUAACGGGGCUAAACCAUGCACCGAAGCUGCGGCAGCGACGCUUAGGCGUUGUUGGGUAGGGGAGCGUUCUGUAAGCCGUUGAAGGUGGCCUGUGAGGGUUGCUGGAGGUAUCAGAAGUGCGAAUGCUGACAUAAGUAACGAUAAAGCGGGUGAAAAGCCCGCUCGCCGGAAGACCAAGGGUUCCUGUCCAACGUUAAUCGGGGCAGGGUGAGUCGACCCCUAAGGCGAGGCUGAAAAGCGUAGUCGAUGGGAAACAGGUUAAUAUUCCUGUACUUGGUGUUACUGCGAAGGGGGGACGGAGAAGGCUAGGCUAGCCGGGCGACGGUUGUCCCGGUUUAAGCGUGUAGGGGGUGUGACCUGGUAAAUCCGGUUGCAUAUCAACCCUGAGGCGUGAUGACGAUGCACUACGGUGCAGAAGUAGUUGAUGCCCUGCUUCCAGGAAAAUCCUCUAAGCAUCAGGUAACAUUAAAUCGUACCCCAAACCGACACAGGUGGUCAGGUAGAGAAUACCAAGGCGCUUGAGAGAACUCGGGUGAAGGAACUAGGCAAAAUGGUGCCGUAACUUCGGGAGAAGGCACGCUGGCAUGUAGGUGAAGUCCCUCGCGGAUGGAGCUGAAGCCAGUCGAAGAUACCAGCUGGCUGCAACUGUUUAAUAAAAACACAGCACUGUGCAAACACGAAAGUGGACGUAUACGGUGUGACGCCUGCCCGGUGCUGGAAGGUUAAUUGAUGGGGUCAGCCGCAAGGCGAAGCUCUUGAUCGAAGCCCCAGUAAACGGCGGCCGUAACUAUAACGGUCCUAAGGUAGCGAAAUUCCUUGUCGGGUAAGUUCCGACCUGCACGAAUGGCGUAAUGAUGGCCAGGCUGUCUCCACCCGAGACUCAGUGAAAUUGAACUCGCUGUGAAGAUGCAGUGUACCCGCGGCAAGACGGAAAGACCCCGUGAACCUUUACUAUAGCUUGACACUGAACAUUGAGCCUUGAUGUGUAGGAUAGGUGGGAGGCUUUGAAGCGUGGACGCCAGUCUGCGUGGAGCCAUCCUUGAAAUACCACCCUUUAAUGUUUGAUGUUCUAACUCGGCCCCAUAAUCUGGGGUGAGGACAGUGUCUGGUGGGUAGUUUGACUGGGGCGGUCUCCUCCCAAAGAGUAACGGAGGAGCACGAAGGUUAGCUAAUCACGGUCGGACAUCGUGAGGUUAGUGCAAAGGCAUAAGCUAGCUUGACUGCGAGAGUGACGGCUCGAGCAGGUACGAAAGUAGGUCUUAGUGAUCCGGUGGUUCUGAAUGGAAGGGCCAUCGCUCAACGGAUAAAAGGUACUCCGGGGAUAACAGGCUGAUACCGCCCAAGAGUUCAUAUCGACGGCGGUGUUUGGCACCUCGAUGUCGGCUCAUCACAUCCUGGGGCUGAAGUAGGUCCCAAGGGUAUGGCUGUUCGCCAUUUAAAGUGGUACGCGAGCUGGGUUUAGAACGUCGUGAGACAGUUCGGUCCCUAUCUGCCGUGGGCGUUGGAAGAUUGAGAGGGGUUGCUCCUAGUACGAGAGGACCGGAGUGAACGCACCACUGGUGUUCGGGUUGUCAUGCCAAUGGCAUUGCCCGGUAGCUAAGUGCGGAAAAGAUAAGCGCUGAAAGCAUCUAAGCGCGAAACUUGCCUCAAGAUGAGUCUUCCCUGGGCCUUUAAGGCCCCUGAAGGAACGUUUAAGACUAAGACGUUGAUAGGCUGGGUGUGUAAGUGCAGCGAUGCAUUGAGCUAACCAGUACUAAUGAUCCGUGAGGCUUAACCUU